UGAGUAAUAUAUCGGAACGUGCCCUAGAGUGGGGGAUAACGUAGCGAAAGUUACGCUAAUACCGCAUACGAUCUACGGAUGAAAGUGGGGGAUCGCAAGACCUCAUGCUCGUGGAGCGGCCGAUAUCUGAUUAGCUAGUUGGUAGGGUAAAAGCCUACCAAGGCAUCGAUCAGUAGCUGGUCUGAGAGGACGACCAGCCACACUGGGACUGAGACACGGCCCAGACUCCUACGGGAGGCAGCAGUGGGGAAUUUUGGACAAUGGGCGCAAGCCUGAUCCAGCAAUGCCGCGUGAGUGAAGAAGGCCUUCGGGUUGUAAAGCUCUUUUGUCAGGGAAGAAACGGUGUUCUCUAAUACAGGGCACUAAUGACGGUACCUGAAGAAUAAGCACCGGCUAACUACGUGCCUGCAGCCGCGGUAAUACGUCGGGUGCAAGCGUUAAUCGGAAUUACUGGGCGUAAAGCG
rnacentral:rRNA from 1 species